rnacentral:rRNA from 1 species
AUUGAACGCUGGCGGCAUGCUUUACACAUGCAAGUCGAACGGUAACAGGUUAAGCUGACGAGUGGCGAACGGGUGAGUAAUGCAUCGGAACGUGCCCGGUCGUGGGGGAUAACGCAGCGAAAGCUGCGCUAAUACCGCAUACGAUCUGAGGAUGAAAGCGGGGGACCGUAAGGCCUCGCGCGAUCGGAGCGGCCGAUGUCAGAUUAGGUAGUUGGUGGGGUAAAGGCUCACCAAGCCAACGAUCUGUAGCUGGUCUGAGAGGACGACCAGCCACACGGGGACUGAGACACGGCCCAGACUCCUACGGGAGGAAGCAGUGGGGAAUUUUGGACAAUGGGCGAAAGCCUGAUCCAGCAAUGCCGCGUGCAGGAAGAAGGCCUUCGGGUUGUAAACUGCUUUUGUACGGAGCGAAAAGGUCUCCUCUAAUAUAGGGGGCUCAUGACGGUACCGUAAGAAUAAGCACCGGCUAACUACGUGCCAGCCGCCGCAGUAA